CACGCCUGGCAGUGGACAAAGAGACCCCUUGUUGGUGUUGGUGUUCUUCUAUCAGUCAGGGGAAGAGCAGGUAACAGUCUUUGUUCAUCCUAGCUUGAUGCCUGACUUGGUGGCCAAAAUUGUCUUAGACCUAAGACUCAAAA